rnacentral:rRNA from 1 species
ACGAGAGAGGCAGACGGUAUUUUCGGGGUAGGGGUGAAAUCCUAUAAUCCCGGGAAGACCACCAGUGGCGAAGGCUGUCUGCUAGAACGCGCCCGACGGUGAGGGAUGAAAGCUGGGGGAGCGAACCGGAUUAGAUACCCGGGUAGUCCCAGCUGUAAACGAUGCAGACUAGGUGUUUGGACGGCCACGUGCCGUUCUAGUGCCGCAGGGAAGCUGUUAAGUCUGCCGCCUGGGGAGUACGAUCGCAAGAUUGAAACUUAAAGGAAUUGGCGGGGGAGCACCACAAGGGGUGAAGCUUGCGGUUUAAUUGGAGUCAACGCCGGAAAUCUCACCGGGAGCGACAGCAGUAUGAAAGCCAGAUUGAAGGUCUUGCUAGACGAGCUGAGUAGAGGUGCAUGG